UACCAGCACCCCGAGUGGUCGGGACGUUUAUUGGGCCUAAAGCAUCCGUAGCCGGUUCUACAAGUCUUCCGUUAAAUCCACCUGCUUAACAGAUGGGCUGCGGAAGAUACUAUAGAGCUAGGAGGCGGGAGAGGCAAGCGGUACUCGAUGAGUAGGGGUAAAAUCCGUUGAUCCAUUGAAGACCACCAGUGGCGAAGGCGGCUUGCCAGAACGCGCUCGACGGUGAGGGAUGAAAGCUGGGGGGAGCAAACAGG
rnacentral:rRNA from 1 species